CCUCUGCUUCUCAGUUAACUUCUCACAGCAACAUCCUGUCACCGAGAUUGUUUCUUCCAUAUUUGGAGACAAGAAAACAGUGACUCAGCUCUCUCUAAGGAAGCGACAUAUAAGUCAAGCAUGAAAGAUGAAGAGGAGCAGAUUGUAUGCAGAGCAGAGGGAAGAGCAAGCUGAUGGAGGAGACUAACCAGUGAGCUUGAUGGUAAGUGCUCAAGGAAGCCCAGCUUUCUCAACAUCACCAACUGCUCAGAAGCCUUCAG
rnacentral:lncRNA from 1 species